GACACGGAUGGGGACAGACGGACAGACACGGACAGGAACAGAUGGGGACAGACGGACAUAUGGGGCCAGAUGGGGAUAAGGACAGACAGACAGACAGACCGGGACAGACAGACGGACGUGGAGGGGGACAGACGGACAUAGGGAGAAGGGGACACAGAUGGGGACGGACAGACAGACAGUGAUAAGGACAGACAGACAUGGAUGGGGACAGACAGACACAGAUGGGGACAGACAGACGGACGUGGAUGGGGACAGACGGACAUAUGGGGCCAGAUAGGGAUAAGGACAGACAGACAGAUGGACCGGGACAGACAGACGGACGUGGAGGGGGACAGACGGACACUGAUGGGGACAGACGGACGGACGGGGACUGGGACAGAUGGGGACAGACAGACAGACGGGGAUAAGGACAGACAGACGGACAGACCGGGACAGACAGACGGACGUGGAGGAGGACAGACAGACACGGAUAGGGACAGACGGACAGACGGGGACAGGGACAGAUGGGGACAGAAAGACAGAUGGGGAUAAGGACAGACAGACGGACGUGGAGUGGGACAGACGGACAUAUGGGGACAGAUGGGGACAGACAGAGACAGAUGGGGAUAAGGACAGACAGACAGACAGACCGGGACAGACAGACAGACGUGGAGGGGGACAGACGGACAGACGGGGAGGGGGACAGAUGGGGACAGACGGACAGAUGGCGAUAAGGACAGACAGACGGACGUGGAGGAGGACAGACGGACACAGAUAGGGACAGAUGGACAUAUGGGGCCAGAUGGGGAUAAGGACAGACAGACAGACAACAGACAGACAGACGGACGUGCAGCGGGACAGACGGACAGACGGGGACAGAUGGGGAUAAGGACAGACAGACGGACGUGGAGGAGGACAGACGGACAUAGGGAGAAGGGGACACAGAUGGGGACGGACAGACAGACAGUGAUAAGGACAGAUGGACAUGGAUGGGGACAGACAGACACAGAUGGGGACAGACGGACACAGAUGGGGACAGACAGACGGACGUGGAUGGGGACAGACAGACACAGAUGGGGACAGACGGACACAGAUGGGGACAGACAGACGGACACAGAUGGGGACAGACAGACAUGGAUGGGGACAGACAGACAGACAUGGAUGGGGACAGACAGAUGGACACGGAUGGGGACAGACAGACGGACAUGGAUGGGGACAGACAGACACAGAUGGGGACAGACGGACAGACGGAGACGGAUGGGGAUAUGGACAGACAGACGGACAGAUGGGGACAGACGGACACAGACAGAUGGGGACAGACAGACGGACACAGAUGGGGACAGACAGACGGACACAGAUGGGGACAGACGGACGGACGUGGAUGGGGACAGACAGACACAGGUGGGGACAGACAGACGGACAUGGAGGGGGACAGACGGACAGACGGGGACAGGAACAGAUGGGGACAGACGGAGACAGAUGGGGAUAAGGACAGACAUAUGGACCGGGACAGACAGACGGAUGUGGAGGAGGACAGACGGACAGAUGGGGCCAGAUGGGGAUAAGGACAGACGGACGGACACGGAUGGGGACAGACGGACAGAUGGACGUGGAGGGGGACAGACGGACACGGAUAGGGACAGACAGACGGACAGACGGAGACAGAUGGGGAUAAGGACAGACAGACGGACGUGGAGGGGGACAGACGGACAUAGGGAGAAGGGGACACAGAUGGGGACGGACAGACAGACAGUGAUAAGGACAGAUGGACAUGGAUGGGGACAGACAGACACAGAUGGGGACAGACAGAC
ensembl:lncRNA